rnacentral:tRNA from 1 species
AAAGAUGAAGUAUAGAAAAUACAUUUCACUUACAAUGAAAAAACCCAAAAAUGGCAUCUUUC